UACGAAGGGGACUAGCGUUGUUCGGAAUCACUGGGCGUAAAGCGCACGUAGGCGGAUAUGUCAGUCAGGGGUGAAAUCCCGGGGCUCAACCUCGGAACUGCCUUUGAUACAGCAUGUCUUGAGUCCGAUAGAGGUGGGUGGAAUUCCUAGUGUAGAGGUGAAAUUCGUAGAUAUUAGGAAGAACACCAGUGGCGAAGGCGACUCACUGGACACAUAUUGACGCUGAGGUGCGAAAGCGUGGGGAGCAAACAGG
rnacentral:rRNA from 1 species